ACAUGCAUACAGGGGUCCAGUUUUUGCCAUAGGCUUGGAGGCUGCCAGUGUCCACUGGGGUGAGAUGCAGAGCAGAACCCUGCCUCUGUUCCUGAAAGUCCCAAUUCUAAGGCCCAAUUUCAAGUGUGUGUUUGUGUGUGGGGGUGGUGAGGGGGUUGUGUGUGUGUGUGUGUGUGGUGAUGGGGGAGGCUUCUGACCUUGGAUGGGCAGAUGGGAUGGGUGCAUGAGUCAAGGCCGCUCUACAAGGGAGGGAAUGGGAAAGUAACUCAGGCAGGAGGAGGCCCCUAGCUUCAGCAAAGAUGGAAUGGAACGCAUAAUUUAGUACUCCUCCACCCCUAUGUAUAUUGCGGUUCUAAAGGUGGGAGACGGGCUGGAGCUCUCAGCCCCCACUUAACCUGUGGGAGGGGGCGGGGCUAAGUGGGCGGGGCGGAGCAUAUCACCCCUCCCUUCAGUGGCGAAGUACGGGUUUAAGGUCUCCAGUCCACGCCCCACACUCCACCCCAAGUUCCACAGUUCGGGUUCUUCCCCAGGGCCAGCCCCCUGAACUCUGAUCACCUUUCCUCUAUUAGAUCUUGGGGUGGAGGGAACUGGGGAGGAGAGACCCUUCAAACAGGAUCAAUGGAGGAUCAGCAGGCUCUCGACCUUCAUCCCAGAUGUCCACCUGCCUAGUCUCGAGGACAAGCUCUCCUUCGAUCCCGCCGGACGCCGGGAGACGUGACCCAGAUCCUGGGGAACACUGUUCGCCACGCGGCCCCCUCCCCGCGCUGGUCCCCGACUCCGUGGUGGCCGGUUUGCACCCCGCGCAGCCCGAGGCCUGGCCCGCGCCCCUCUAGAGCCGUCAUGCAGGACCGGGGGACUUGGUGGUGAGAAAGGCCUGGCCCAGCUUGGAGGGUAGAAUGGACGUGGGGGAGGCCUUGCCCGACCCCCGGCCCGCAGCCCCAGGCUCACGCCAGGGCGCCGCCCGCACUCCUCGCCUUGCUCACCUUUGCGCUCGGAUCCGGGGCCAUAGAGACAGCGACGCGCGGCUCCGCGGCCCCACAGCACCAGCUGCGAGAGGAAGGGGC
rnacentral:lncRNA from 10 species